AUACGGAGUGUGCGAGCGUUACUCGGAUUCACUGGGCAUAAAGCGCACGUAGGCGGGUUGCCAAGUCGGCCGUGAAAGCCCCCGGCUCAACCGGGGAAUUGCGACCGAAACUGGCAGCCUUGAGGACGAGAGGGGAGAGCGGAACUUCUGGUGGAGUGGUGAAAUGCGUAGAUAUCAGAAGGAACACCGGUGGUGAAAACGGCUCUCUGGCUCGUUUCUGACGCUGAGGUGCGAAAGCGUGGGGAGCGAACGGGAUUAGAAACCCCAGUAGUCC
rnacentral:rRNA from 1 species